rnacentral:lncRNA from 1 species
AGGGCCCAUUAGUUUUCUUUUACCCACAUCAUCCCAACAAAUGAAAGAUCUACAUUUUCUUCCAUAAAGGGCUUUCUAAGAAGCCAUCUGAAUUCUCACCUGAUAACUAUUAUUAUAAGCAACCUCAACCAAGGGCAAGUGACAAUCCUUAGAAUCUCCCAUAUUAAUUACAAAAGCUCUUAACAUAUCCUCCAAAAUUUGAAUGAUUCUUUCUAACUAACUAUAAGUCUAAGAGUGGAAAGUAGUACUAAAAUUAAGAGUGG